rnacentral:rRNA from 1 species
CUGAAAUCAGGCGGGAUU